rnacentral:lncRNA from 1 species
CCCGUAAUACACAGCGGGAUUAAAACUGAAGAUCCCACAACAGAGAGAGAGAGAGAAAUCACGCUGGCACAAGGCCCAGUUGAACAAAGCGUUCUUUGACCACACAUUCCAAACCUYUUAUGCACUCCACUGCAUAAACCUGAUGGCACGGUGGUCAGGUAAAUAGUAUCCCAGCAUUGACAAGAAAAGCUACCUGCUCCAAUGCUCCCAUCCAGCAACAUUAGGUUACCAUCUAUUUUAUUUCCCCRUGCAAGUAGAGCGCAUAUCAUCUAGUAUCACUCAAGGUUUGGUUUCUGUUGGAGUGAGCACCUGACCUAGUCCACAUGGGUUCUCCCCACCCACCCUCAGCUGCCUGCGACCAGCAGAGACGUGCUUCGUCAUUGCAAGACGGUCAUUGGAAUCCUCGGAUCAAUAUGCUGUAACUUCUGAGAGCGUCGGGAAACACUUGAAUUAUGAUGGCGGAAUAAUACCAGGAAAGAAAACAGGACGAAACGUCUCAACUCUCAGAGGCUAGCGCGGUGGGCGAGGCGGACACAGAGGGCAAGCCGAAGCCCAGUGUAGCAGAGGCAGAGAGAAGACCGGAGACCAAGCAGAGCUCGGAGGCAGAGAUACAACUGGAGAACAAGCAGAGCCCAGAGCCAGAAACAGAGAGAGAACCGGAGAACAAGCAGAGCCCAGAGGCAGCGGAGCCAGAUAGGGAGAAGCCCAGCCAGAAGACCCAGGAGCAGGCCUCACAGCCUGGCUCCACAGAGACCCCCAUCUUCACCACCACCACUGAGGAGGAGCAGCUAGUGAAGCCCCGCCAGCGCACCUCAGCCAGCCGGGGCCUCUCACGCCUCUUCUCCUCCUUCCUCAAGCGGCGCUCGCAGUGCUCAGACGUAGAGUGGGCUGAGGUCGAGAAGGCGGAGAAGGACAGGAAAGAGAAGGCAGAGGCUGGAACAAAGGAGGAAAAGUUAGAGCAGGCCAAGGGGGAGGAGAAGAAAGAGGCAGAGGAAAGGGGGGAGAAGAAAGAGGAGGAAGAAGCAGCAAAGAAAUCAAAGAAGAAAGAGGAGGAAGAAGCAGCAAAGAAAGCAGAGAAGAAGCAGAAGAAAGAAGAGGAAGAAGCAGCAAAGAAAGAGGCAGUGAAGAAGAAGAAAGAAGAGAAAGAGGCAGCAAAGAAAGCAGAGAAGAAGAAGAAAGAGGAAGAAGAGGCAGCAAAGAAAGCAGAGAAGAAGAAGAAAGAGGAGGAAGAAGCAGCAAGGAAAGCGAAGAAGAAAGAGGAGGAAGAGGCAGCAAAGAAAGCAGAGAAGAAGAAAAAAGAAGAGGAAGGGGUAACGAAGAAAGAGGCAGAGCAGCAGAAUCAAGAGGAAGAGGCAGCAAAGAAAAAGGAGGAGGAGAAGAAGAAAGAGGAAGAAGAGGCAGCAAAGAAAG